rnacentral:rRNA from 1 species
GAUGAACGCUAGCGGCAGGCUUAACACAUGCAAGUCGAGGGGUAUUGGUUUUCGGACCAAGAGACCGGCGCACGGGUGCGUAACGCGUAUGCAAUCUACCUUUUGCAGAGGGAUAGCCCCAGAGAAAUUUGGAUUAAUACCUCAUAGUAUAGUACUUUGGCAUCAAGGAACUAUUAAAGUCACAACGGCAAAAGAUGAGCAUGCGUCCCAUUAGCUAGUUGGUAAGGUAACGGCUUACCAAGGCUACGAUGGGUAGGGGUCCUGAGAGGGAGAUCCCCCACACUGGUACUGAGACACGGACCAGACUCCUACGGGAGGCAGCAGUGAGGAAUAUUGGACAAUGGGCGCAAGCCUGAUCCAGCCAUGCCGCGUGCAGGAUGACGGGUCCUAAUGGGAUUGUAAACUGCUUUUUAUACAGGAAGAACACUCCGAACGUGUCGGAGCUUGACGGGUACUGUAAGAAUAAGGAUCGGACUAACUCCGUGCCAGCAGCCGCGGUAAAG